GACGAACGCUGGCGGCGUGCUUAACACAUGCAAGUCGAACGGAAAGGCCCUGCUUUUGUGGGGUGCUCGAGUGGCGAACGGGUGAGUAACACGUGAGUAACCUGCCCUUGACUUUGGGAUAACUUCAGGAAACUGGGGCUAAUACCGGAUAGGAGCUCCUGCUGCAUGGUGGGGGUUGGAAAGUUUCGGCGGUUGGGGAUGGACUCGCGGCUUAUCAGCUUGUUGGUGGGGUAGUGGCUUACCAAGGCUUUGACGGGUAGCCGGCCUGAGAGGGUGACCGGCCACAUUGGGACUGAGAGACGGCCCAGACUCCUACGGGAGGCAGCAGGGGGGAAUAUUGCACAAUGGGCGGAAGCCGGAUGCAGCAACGCCGCGUGCGGGAUGACGGCCUUCGGGUUGUAAACCGCUUUCGCCUGUGACGAAGCGUGAGUGACGGUAAUGGGUAAAGAAGCACCGGCUAACUACGUG
rnacentral:rRNA from 1 species